GUGGAGUGAGGUGCUGCCACAUGAUGGCGUGAUGUGGGCUGUGCAGGCGAAGAAAUGAGUAGAGUCAUCAGAUCCUGCAGAAGCUGAUCUUCUUUAUCUCGAGAUGGAGGAAGUGGUGAAUUUCCCCUAAUACGAGCGGAGGCCGAGACUACGAAAGGGUGAAUCGUGUGAUGUCACAGUUGCCAUGGAAACGGUUGAAGAACAAUGACUGGGAGGUUCAAAAUCUAAAACUAAAUAUGGCAGCACUCACCAUCCCAGCAAACCUGACCACUGGAGCACAGGCCUUCAUCAAAUAGACAACCUUGAAAGAGAGAAACAGAAAAAGAGAAGAGAGAGUAUGAAAGGGUAAUUGUUUUUCUGACAAAAUAGGCCAACACAGACCCUCUCCUCAUGCGUUUUGUUUCAAGAUUUUAGUCCAAGCAUCACAAACAUCCCAUAGAUAUGACUUCCAGUUCCAGAAAGAGCUAAAUACAGACCACCAGCACACUUCUGACAAUUUCAGCAUGUCAGUGUAUACAAUUGAUUAUAAGAUGCUGUCUGUCAAUUUAACACCAUAGAAACAAACAAGUAACGAUUUGGAAUAAUGACCACCCACCAUAACGAGCAUUAGUAAAGAUUUGCCAGAAUAGUAUGAGACAAAACAAUCAAGAGUGGCUUCAACUGCCAUCUGCAUCUCUGUUAAAAUGCUUCUUCAUGGAAUUGACGCAUUAAAAUUAAAAACUAUGGAAAGAAAAAACGUACAAAAUCAAGGUCUAUAGGACAAUUCAAUUGUUCAUAUUUGUUUCAAAGCAUACCACAAUAUCACACACUCUGCCAAACUCCAAUUCCUCCAGUAUCCUUGCGCUUCCUAAAACAUACACACACACUUAAGAGUUGAGCAGACAAAUUGAAUCACUGGGAUGAAUGUUAGUUACACGAGGUUGUCUGCUGUACGCCUCUUUUCUAUCAAAAUAAAUACUGAGAUUGUUUAUGAGCCAAGAGGAGGGGAGAAGAGAUAAUUGUGCAGUUCCUUCUCACUUGAACACAUCCCUCAAGAUUCCUUUCUUUUUCUGGAACCAACAAUUACAAUAUCUUAUGCAACCUUUAACACAUGCAGGGCCGCUGCUGGCCAAAUGGGUGCCCUAAGCAGGAUUGUAUUUUUGUGCCCCCAUUCCUCAAAUAUGAUGAUGGAAAAAAACACCUAUUAUAAGGGUGAAAAUAAAACUUUAAUCAAAUAAAAAGUAAAUGGAUAAUUUGUAUUAUUUACAAAUUACAAUUGUAGCUCUCGACAUUUACCUAUGGCUAUAAAUUUAUUAUGACUAAUUUAUUUUAUAGUCUCAAGCAUUCAGAAAUAAUGCAAAAGCAAACUACGCAGUUUUACUAUGAAAAAAAAAAAACAUAGUUUAUUUUUGUAAGGGUUGUGAUAUGCACGUUUUUUGUUGAAGAAAUUAUAAAGGCUGUGUCAUCUAUAGCAAAAAGGUGUCCAAAAAUGAAAGAUUAAGUGAAUAUUUGAAUAAAAUGUUUGGUCAGUAGCCUAAACAAGGAUUUGAAUUUCCUGUAAGUGUAACAGCAGCAAUUACUUGGCAUUUGCCUCCCUUUGCAGGCAUUUGUAAUAACAUGUACAUAAUAACAUGUACAUAAAUUGUUUAUUUUGUAUUUGCCUACAUUAUGCAUUUUAACAGUGUUAUUAUUAAACAAUCAAUUUUU